rnacentral:rRNA from 1 species
GAUGAACGCUGGCGGCGUGCUUAACACAUGCAAGUCGAGCGAACAGACGAGGAGCUUGCUCCUCUGACGUUAGCGGCGGACGGGUGAGUAACACGUGGAUAACCUACCUAUAAGACAGGGAUAACUUCGGGAAAUCGGAGCUAAUACCGGAUAACAUGUUGAACCGCAUGGUUCAACAGUGAAAGUCGGUCUUGCUGUCACUUAUAGAUGGACCCGCGCCGCAUUAGCUAGUUGGUAAGGGAACGGCUUACCAAGGCAACGAUGCGUAGCCGACCUGAGAGGGUGAUCGGCCAGCCUGGAACUGAGACACGGUCCAGACUCCUAGGGGAGGCAGCAGUAGGGAAUCUUCCGGAAUGGGCGAAAGCCUGACGGAGCAACACCGCGUGAGUGAUGAAGGUCUUCGGAUCGUAAAACGCUGUUAUUAGGAAAGAACAAAUGUGUAAGUAACUAUGAACGUCUUGACGGUACCUAAUGAAAAAGCCACGGCUAACUACGUG